GGGAUUUUGUUUUUUUUUUCGGUAUAAAAAAUCGAUUGCAAACCAUUGUAAUGGGGGGAUUUUUUUUGAAAAUAAUAAAAAGAAAACGGUUCAGAAAAAAAGAAAAGAUUCAAGGUUGUUUUCUUAUUUUUGUUUUUGUUUUUUGUUUUUUGUUUUUUUUCUUCUUGAUUUUUUUAUUUCGAAAUAUUAAAUAAAAAAAGAAAAAAGGAGGCUUUUCUUACCUUUUCGCCGUUGUCGGAGUGCUCGGGGGCGAAGGUUUGCAUCGGAGGGAAAAAGGGGAAACUUUUGGUCUCUUCGCCGCCGUGCACGGCGGCACCGGCGGCCGACACGAUGGCCAAUGGUCGGGCCCUUGGCCGGAGAAGGGAGAGAAGGGAGAGUGUUUUUUGAAGUUUUUUUUUUUUUGAAAAGGAGAAGAAGAAUGAAAUUUUUUUUAAAACAAAAACUGACUUAAAUAGGCUUCCAAAACAACGUCGUUUUGGGCAACCUUCUCAAGCACCAAAACGGCGCCAUUUUAAGGCCGACCCGCAUGUGACCCGACCCCCUCCAGGG
rnacentral:lncRNA from 1 species